CAGGCCUACACAUGCAAGUCGAGGGAGGAGCUUUCGGGCUUCGACCGGCGUACGGGUGCGUAACGCGUAUACAAUCUGCCUUUCACAUAGGAAUAGCCCGAAGAAAUUUGGAUUAAUACCUAAUGGUAUAUAGGGGUGGCAUCACCUUUAUAUUAAAGCUGAGGCGGUGAAAGAUGAGUAUGCGUUCUAUUAGCUAGUUGGAGAGGUAACGGCUCCCCAAGGCGACGAUAGAUAGGGGUUCUGAGAGGGAUAUCCCCCACACUGGUACUGAGAUACGGACCAGACUCCUACGGGAGGCAGCAGUGAGGAAUAUUGGACAAUGGUCGGAAGACUGAUCCAGCCAUGCCGCGUGCAGGAAGACGGCCUUAUGGGUUGUAAACUGCUUUUGCAGGGGAAGAAUAAGGAGUACGUGUACUUUGAUGACGGUACUCUGCGAAUAAGCAUCGGCUAACUCCGUGCCAGCAGCCGCGGCAAUACGGAGGAUGCGAGCGUUAUCCGGAAUCAUUGGGUUUAAAGGGUCCGUAGGCGGGCUAAUAAGUCAGAGGUGAAAGCGCUCAGCUCAACAGAGCAACUGCCUUUAAAACUGUUAGUCUUGAAUGGUUGUGAAGUAGUUGGAAUGUGUAGUGUAGCGGUGAAAUGCUUAGAUAUUACACAGAACACCGAUAGCGAAGGCAUAUUACUAACAAUUAAUUGACGCUGAUGGACGAAAGCGUGGGGAGCGAACAGGAUUAGAUACCCUGGUAGUCCACGCUGUAAACGAUGGAUACUAGCUGUUUGGACGAAAGUUUGAGUGGCUAAGCGAAAGUGAUAAGUAUCCCACCU
rnacentral:rRNA from 1 species